GACGAACCGUACGAACGUUAUUCGGAAUUACUGGGCUUAAAGGGUGCGUAGGCGGCGCGGUAAGUCGGGUGUGAAAUCUCGGAGCUUAACUCCGAAACUGCAUUCGAUACUGCCGUGCUUGAGGACUGGAGAGGAGACUGGAAUUUACGGUGUAGCGGUGAAAUGCGUAGAUAUCGUAAGGAAGACCAGUGGCGAAGGCGGGUCUCUGGACAGUUCCUGACGCUGAGGCACGAAGGCCAGGGGAGCAAACGGG
rnacentral:rRNA from 1 species